rfam:Lactococcus lactis subsp. cremoris TIFN6 scaffold38.1_0, whole genome shotgun sequence.
GGAAGGGUAGCGAAGAGGCUAAACGCGGCGGACUGUAAAUCCGCUCCUUCGGGUUCGGGGGUUCGAAUCCCUCCCCUUCCA